AGAGUUUGAUCCUGGCUCAGAUUGAACGCUGGCGGCAUGCUUUACACAUGCAAGUCGAACGGCAGCAUAGAGAGCUUGCUCUCUGAUGGCGAGUGGCGAACGGGUGAGUAAUACAUCGGAACGUGUCCGUUUGUGGGGGACAACCACCCGAAAGGGUGGCUAAUACCGCAUAAGACCUGAGGGUGAAAGCCGGGGACCGCAAGGCCUGGCGCGAACGGAGCGGCCGAUGACUGAUUAGCUGGUUGGCGGGGUAAAGGCCCACCAAGGCGACGAUCAGUAGCUGGUCUGAGAGGACGACCAGCCACACUGGAACUGAGACACGGUCCAGACUCCUACGGGAGGCAGCAGUGGGGAAUUUUGGACAAUGGGGGCAACCCUGAUCCAGCCAUGCCGCGUGCGGGAAGAAGGCCUUCGGGUUGUAAACCGCUUUUGUCAGGGACGAAAAGGUGCGGGUUAAGAGCUAGCACUGAUGACGGUACCUGAAGAAUAAGCACCGGCUAACUACGUGCCAGCAGCCGCGGUAAUACGUAGGGUGCGAGCGUUAAUCGGAAUUACUGGGCGUAAAGCGUGCGCAGGCGGUUGGGUAAGACAGAUGUGAAAUCCCCGGGCUUAACCUGGGAACUGCAUUUGUGACUGUCCGACUGGAGUAUGUCAGAGGGGGGUGGAAUUCCAAGUGUAGCAGUGAAAUGCGUAGAUAUUUGGAAGAACACCGAUGGCGAAGGCAGCCCCCUGGGGCAAAACUGACGCUCAUGCACGAAAGCGUGGGGAGCAAACAGGAUUAGAUACCCUGGUAGUCCACGCCCUAAACGAUGUCUA
rnacentral:rRNA from 1 species